AACCGGAGCUAAUACCGGAUAAUAUAUUGAACCGCAUGGUUCAAUAGUGAAAGACGGUUUUGCUGUCACUUAUAGAUGGAUCCGCGCCGCAUUAGCUAGUUGGUAAGGUAACGGCUUACCAAGGCAACGAUGCGUAGCCGACCUGAGAGGGUGAUCGGCCACACUGGAACUGAGACAACGGUCCAG
rnacentral:rRNA from 1 species